UAGCGGUAUGUAAUGGCUGGAUGCUGUUGUGCUAGGCCCUUUGGGGCAAUGUGCACACCCUCUGGUCAUUUGUUUCUUCUGUCCCACAUGUGCACUGCCUGUAGACACUGCUGUGUCUAUGAUAAUGUUACACACACACAUGGAUGUAUGCAUAAUAUAUAUAUGUUGGUUGGCAUUUUAUGUAAAUACAACUUUCAACAAUGGAUCUCUUGGCUCUCGCAUCGAUGAAGAACACAGCGAAAUGUGAUAAGUAAUGUGAAUUGCAGAAUCCAGUGAAUCAUCGAAUCUUUGAACGCAUCUUGCGCUCCUUGGCAUUCCGAGGAGCAUGCCUGUUUGAGUGUCGUUAAACUAUCAAAACACUUUUUUUCUUGGGUGUUUUGGACUCUGGGAGUGUUUUUGCUGGUCUGUUUGAGCCGGCUCUCCUCAAAAGCAUUAGCUUUGGAGACUGUCAGUGUGAUAAUUUUGCUUGACACUGACUCGAGCGUCUUUGCUUCUCCUUUGACCUCAAAUCAGGUAGGACUACCCGCUGAACUUAAGCAUAUCAAAGGCGCGAGAGAAUCAAUAUUGAAUGAGACUUCUGGCUGGAUGCUGUUGUGCUGGCCCUUUGGGGCAAUGUGCACACCCUCUGGUCAUUUGUUUCUUCUGUCCCACAUGUGCACUGCCUGUAGACACUGCUGUGUCUAUGAUAAUGUUACACACACACAUGGAUGUAUGCAUAAUAUAUAUAUGUUGGUUGGCAUUUUAUGUAAAUACACUUUCACAAUGGAUCUCUUGGCUCUCGCAUCGAUGAAGAACACAGCGAAGUGUGAUAAGUAAUGUGAAUUGCAGAAUCAGUGAAUCAUCGAAUCUAUGAACGCAUCUGCGCUCUUGGCAUUCGAGGAGCAUGCUGUUUGAGUGUCGUAACUAUCAACACUUUUUUUCUUGGUGUUUGGACUCUGGGAGUGUUUUGCUGGUCUGUUGAGCGCUCUCUCAAGCAUAGCUUUGAGACUGUCAGUGUGAUAGUUUGCUGGACUGACCGAGCUCUUGCUUUCUUUGACUCAAUCGUAGCAUCCUGACUUAGCUG
rnacentral:rRNA from 1 species